UGAGAGAAACAUGAGUUAGAGGCAACUCCCAUCUUUUCUUACUCUUUUCACCAGCCCAGUGUGUGGCUCUGGAGGCUUCUCAGCCUGGCACCCAGCCUAGUAAAGAGUUUCAAAAGUAACACCUUCUGCUGUCACAAAAACUUCCCUGAAGAUGGAGAUCACGAUGAUUCUGGAUGCAAUCAAUCCCUUAAGUAUUCAGCAUUGUUGAGACAUUUGCAUACUGGAACCCCAUGGUGGGUUAUUCUGUGCUCGGAGGCAAAAUUCCCUGGGAAUUCCCCUUGGAUUUUUCAGGCUUGGUUUCAGCUUCAAGGACGAAACAGGUUUGAAGAAAUAUAAUGAAGCGAGUUCUGGAAAAAGACAAAAGAUCUCCACAGCUCAAUGGCCAUGAAUGUCCCACUGAACUUGUCCUACACCCCUGUGAGAGCUCCUCACCCUCUGCAUGAAGCAGUUCCUCCUCUGGAACAAUCCUGGCAUAGACACAAGGAUACAACUGUACGUUUUUGUUGCACCAGGACAGUUGUUUUUCCUCCUCAUAGGAGAGCAAGUCCUGCUAACAGAGCGUGCUUUGUCCCCACAGACGUUCCUCACGCAGUUGGGAAGAGCUGUGCUGCUCUGGGCUGUUAAAUCGUAUUGUACAAGACAUUAAAGGUGAAAUGAUGAUGAACUUGGAUAAACUCAGCCUGGGAAAUAAACUGCAUCCCCCCCCCAACCACCCUCCCAGUCAACACCAGAGUUCACAGCCUGCUCUGAGAUGGAUUUCCAAAAGCUGAAUUUGUACCUGUUCCUUCCCGGGGUGGUACCAGCAUCGCAAAAAGAGAAUAAAAACACCAGGGGCAGCUUCCCCAAACUUUGCUUUUUGUAUAAUUUCCUUCCUGAGGUCUUGCUAAAUGAGACACUAUUCACAUAUUCCUCUAUUCCCACUGUUUUUCUGCUUGGCUUUCCAGGAUGGAGCUGAGCUUGCUGGGGUUUGCAUUCAGUAUCACUAACUGGAGGAAAAAGGGGAACAAAAGACACUGGUCUGAUGAUAAUAUUAUUAUUUCUCCUUUCUUGAAAAGCUUUCUGGGUGAAUGAGCACAAAGUUUGCAGGAUUCUCCUGAAAUAUUCUUGUUUAGGGUUGUUCCAGAUUGACAGAAAAAUGGAGAGGGAACACACCUCUGUAAUGUGCCUCUCUUGAGAAAUAUCCUGCUAGGAAUGACAUGCAGGAAAUUUGCUGGGAUUCUUUAAUUCAUAAACAAUCUGUUGUUCAUAUUUUCAAGGGUGUGACUGCUACUUUCAGGGAAAUUGGAUAAGUAAACUAAGAGUGGAUGUUGUCAGGCAGCUGCAGCCCUGGGGUGCAUAAAAGGGACAACUGAGUGCUUGGAGUUCAAGUUGCUGAUACUGAACAAGCUGAAUUUUGGCUGCAGAAUCCAUUUUAUAAUAAUAAUACUACUACUAAUAGUUGUUGUUGUUGUUAUUAUUAUUAUUGGUGGUGUUAUUAUUACUCUUUCCCUGUUAGGCUCAGACAAUUCUCAGCAACUUCGCCACAUUGUAGAAUUAAUUUUGAAGUGGAUAUAUAUUAAGAAACUAAUUAAUUUGAAACCCCCAUCAAAUAAAAA